rnacentral:misc_RNA from 1 species
UACGUAGGGGGCAAGCGUUGUCCGGAAUUAUUGGGCGUCACGCGCGCGCAGGCGGUUUCUUAAGUCUGAUGUGAAGGCCCACGGCUCGACCGUGGAGGGUCAUUGGAAACUGGGGGACUUGAGUGCAGAAGAGGAAAGUGGAAUUCCAGGUGUAGCGGUGAAAUGCGUAGAGAUGUGGAGGAACACCAGUGGCGAAGGCGACUUUCUGGUCUGUAACUGACGCUGAGGCGCGAAAGCGUGGGGAGCAAACAGG